rnacentral:rRNA from 1 species
CAGCAGCCGCGGGAAUACGGAGGGUGCAAGCGUUAAUCGGAAUUACUGGGCGUAAAGCGCACGCAGGCGGUUUGUUAAGUCAGAUGUGAAAUCCCCGAGCUUAACUUGGGAACUGCAUUUGAAACUGGCAAGCUAGAGUCUUGUAGAGGGGGGUAGAAUUCCAGGUGUAGCGGUGAAAUGCGUAGAGGUCUGGAGGAAUACCGGUGGCGAAGGCGGCCCCCUGGACAAAGACUGACGCUCAGGUGCGAAAGCGUGGGGAGCAAACAGGAUUAGAUACCCCUGUAGUCCCUGUCUCUUAUAC